UACGAAGGGGACUAGCGUUGUUCGGAAUUACUGGGCGUAAAGCGUGCGUAGACGGUUAUCUAAGUCGGGUGUGAAAGCCCCGGGCUCAACCUGGGAAUUGCAUUUGAGACUGCAUAGCUAGGGUGCGGAAGAGGGAAGCGGAAUUUCCGGUGUAGCGGUGAAAUGCGUAGAUAUCGGAAGGAACACCAGUGGCGAAAGCGGCUUCCUGGUCCAGCACCGACGUUCAGGCACGAAAGCGUGGGGAGCAAACAGG
rnacentral:rRNA from 1 species